rnacentral:rRNA from 1 species
GAACGCUGGCACAGGCCUAACACAUGCAAGUCGAACGGUAACAUUUCUAGCUUGCUAGAAGAUGACGAGUGGCGGACGGGUGAGUAAUGCUUGGGAACUUGCCUUUGCGAGGGGGAUAACAGUUGGAAACGACUGCUAAUACCGCAUAAUGUCUUCGGACCAAACGGGGCUUAGGCUCCGGCGCAAAGAGAGGCCCAAGUGAGAUUAGCUAGUUGGUAAGGUAACGGCUUACCAAGGCGACGAUCUCUAGCUGUUCUGAGAGGAAGAUCAGCCACACUGGGACUGAGACACGGCCCAGACUCCUACGGGAGGCAGCAGUGGGGAAUAUUGCACAAUGGGGGAAACCCUGAUGCAGCCAUGCCGCGUGUGUGAAGAAGGCCUUCGGGUUGUAAAGCACUUUCAGUUGUGAGGAAAAGUUAGUAGUUAAUACCUGCUAGCCGUGACGUUAACAACAGAAGAAGCACCGGCUAACUCCGUGCCAGCAGCCGCGGUAAUACGGAGGGUGCGAGCGUUAAUCGGAAUUACUGGGCGUAAAGCGCACGCAGGCGGUUUGUUAAGCUAGAUGUGAAAGC